GCCUACACGAAGCUGGAAUCGCUAGUAAUCGCGGAUCAGCACGCCGCGGUGAAUACGUUCCCGGGCCUUGUACACACCGCCCGUCACACCAUGAGAGUCUGUAACACCCAAAGCCGGUGGGAUAACCUUUAUAGGAGUCAGCCGCCUAAGGUAGGACAGAUGAUUAGGGUGAAGUCGUAACAAGGUAAC
rnacentral:rRNA from 1 species